rnacentral:rRNA from 1 species
GACGAACGCUGGCGGCGUGCUUAACACAUGCAAGUCGAACGGGUCUGCCCUGUUUUUUGCGGGGUGGGUCAGUGGCGAACGGGUGAGUAACACGUGAGUAACCUGCCCCUCACUUCUGGAUAACCGCUUGAAAGGGUGGCUAAUACGGGGUGUUCUGGCUGUGCCGCAUGGUGCGGCUGGGAAAGAUUCACUUUUGUGGUGUUUUGGUGGGGGAUGGGCUCGCGGCCUAUCAGCUUGUUGGUGGGGUGAUGGCCUGCCAAGGCUUUGACGGGUAGCCGGCCUGAGAGGGUGGGCGGUCACACUGGGACUGAGAUACGGCCCAGACUCCUGCGGGAGGCAGCAGGGGGGGGUAUUGCACAAUGGGCGGAAGCCUGAGGCAGCGACGUCGCGUGAGGGAUGGAGGCCGUCGGGUUGUGAACCUCUUUCGCCGGUGAAGAAGGUCCUGCUCUUUGUGGUGGGGUUGACGGUAGCCGGGUUAUGAAGCGCCGGCUAACUACGU